AGAGUUUGAUCCUGGCUCAGGAUGAACGCUAGCGACAGGCUUAACACAUGCAAGUCGAGGGGCAGCAUGAUUUGUAGCAAUACAGAUUGAUGGCGACCGGCGCACGGGUGAGUAACGCGUAUGCAACUUACCUAUCAGAGGGGGAUAACCCGGCGAAAGUCGGACUAAUACCGCAUGAAGCAGGGAUCCCGCAUGGGAAUAUUUGCUAAAGAUUCAUCGCUGAUAGAUAGGCAUGCGUUCCAUUAGGCAGUUGGCGGGGUAACGGCCCACCAAACCGACGAUGGAUAGGGGUUCUGAGAGGAAGGUCCCCCACAUUGGUACUGAGACACGGACCAAACUCCUACGGGAGGCAGCAGUGAGGAAUAUUGGUCAAUGGCCGAGAGGCUGAACCAGCCAAGUCGCGUGAGGGAUGAAGGUUCUAUGGAUCGUAAACCUCUUUUAUAAGGGAAUAAAGUGCGGGACGUGUCCCGUUUUGUAUGUACCUUAUGAAUAAGGAUCGGCUAACUCCGUGCCAGCAGCCGCGGUAAUACGGAGGAUCCGAGCGUUAUCCGGAUUUAUUGGGUUUAAAGGGUGCGUAGGCGGCCUUUUAAGUCAGCGGUGAAAGUCUGUGGCUCAACCAUAGAAUUGCCGUUGAAACUGGGGGGCUUGAGUAUGUUUGAGGCAGGCGGAAUGCGUGGUGUAGCGGUGAAAUGCAUAGAUAUCACGCAGAACUCCGAUUGCGAAGGCAGCUUACUAAACCAUAACUGACACUGAAGCACGAAAGCGUGGGGAUCAAACAGGAUUAGAUACCCUGGUAGUCCACGCAGUAAACGAUGAUCACUAGCUGUUUGCGAUACACUGUAAGCGGCACAGCGAAAGCGUUAAGUGAUCCACCUGGGGAGUACGCCGGCAACGGUGAAACUCAAAGGAAUUGACGGGGGCCCGCACAAGCGGAGGAACAUGUGGUUUAAUUCGAUGAUACGCGAGGAACCUUACCCGGGCUU
rnacentral:rRNA from 1 species